UAUGCUUGUUUCUUUUUUAAUAACAGCCAAAAGAAACUGUUGCAGAUUGUGGAACCAAGAAGUGGAGUAUAGAUGUAACAAAUACCUAAAUACGUAGAUGUGGUUUUAGAAUUAGGUAAUGGUUAAAGGCUGGAAGGACUUGGAGAAGCAUGGUAGAAAAUGUCUGGAUUGCUUUUGAAAAGAUUGUUGGUGCUAAAGUCAAUUCUGGUGAAGACUUAGAUGAGAAUAAGGAGCAUGGUAGAGAGUGUGUAAUUCCUUAGAGAAAAAUAUAUAUUGUCAUAAAUAGAAUAUUGGAUGUUAAAUGUACUUCUAGAGAUGGCCCAGAAAGAAAUGAUGAACAAGUAAUUGGAAAUCUAAGGAAAGACAAUCCCUAGAAACAUUGUGCCUAGAAACAUGGUUGAAUUAUUUUUUCUUGUUAUACGGAAAGCAGAUUUUUUUAAAUGGUGGACUUUCAUAUUUUGCUAAGGUGAUUUCCAAACAAAAGCUUUGAUAGUGGUAUCCUUUUCCUGUUUGUAGUAGAAAGGUAAGAUGGAAAAGAUAAAUUGAGGAAGGAACUGUUAAGCAAAAAACAAUCAUCAGUUGGUGAAUUGAGAAUUUCUCAGCCUGUCCAAAUUGCAAAACAAACAAAAACUGUUAAGUUUGAAGGUUCACUGUUGAGACAGUGUGCUCUGGAGAUAGAGCCAAGAGUAUGUCUGGACAACUUUAUGCUGAAAGUUUAUGAAUUAUGGCUCAAUUCAAAGACUUUAAUGAAAUUAAGAACAGAGAUAGGGUUAUCCAAGAAAGAUGUGUUAAAGACCUUCUUGUCUAAUGAUCUGGAUUACCAUGACAUACACAGAAGACCUACAGGGUCAUUGAGACUGUUAUACCAGCAGGAAUAAGGCCAGCUUGUUUUGGAAGCAGCUGGUUAGGAAGAUAUGAUAGAAAACUGUUAGAGUUCCAAAAUUCUGUAGAUAAGCAACAGGAAUGUACAGCUACUUAGCAGCAAACGUGUGAUUCCUCAAGGAAAAGGAAGAACAAUAUUGAAAUCGAGACAAAUGGAGUCUCAGGCCCAAACAGUGGAGACACAUGCCCAGACAGUGGAGCUAUGAGUAUCAAAUAAUUAUGCUAAGGCCUUGAAACAUAAGAAAAUGUGUCUUGCUAGAUUUUAAAUUUGCUUGGACUGGUGACUUUUUAAAACAUUAUUACUUACAACUUCUCCUUUUUGGAAUGAAAAUGUCUAUCCUAUGAUAGUGCCCCCUUGGUAUUUUGGAAGCAGAUAACUUUUUUUUCCAUUUUGACAAUUCCACAAAUGGAGAGCAAUUUUGUCUCAAGGUGGAUCAUUCCCAGAGUCUAUCCUAUAUCUGACAUAAGAGUUAAAUGAGUGAUAAUAUGUUAACUUUUAAGCUCAUCAUAUGUAGAUGAUAUUAAGGACAUGGAAUUUAUGUUGUAAUAGGUUUAGACUAGGGAAAUUAGAGACAUGUUGAAUCUACUUUGUAUAUAGGAUACACAUGAAUUUUUAGACUUUUUUGAGCCAAAGACAAAAAGAUAGAGAAAAGAGAAGAUGGAAAUGUAACCACCGAGGUGAAGAUAGGAGUGAUGUGACCAUUUUCCAAGGAAGCCAAGGUUUAUAAAUGGGUACCAAGAGCUGUAAGGGUCAAAGGAUGGAAUUAUAUCUGCAGUGUCCAGAGGCAGUGAGUCCUUGGACUUCUGCCUUCCAAAAUUGCUAGAAAAUAAAUUGUUUUUCUUUUAAAGCACCAAGUUUGUGUUAAUUUGUUAUUACAGGGAAGUAAUGCUCUCUCUUAAAAUCUUGCACAUUUACUCUCAUAUAGGUUUCUGCUUCUUUGAAGGCAUGGGCUAACACAACUGAGAAAGAACAUUUUGUUAUCUGAAGCUGAUAAUCAAUAUUUUUAUUUAAGAUACAUUUAAUAUAAGAUGUUUAUGGAGUUCCUACUGUGGUACAGUGGGUUAAGAAUCCAAGUGCAGUGGCUUGGGUUGCUGCAGAGGUGUAGGUUCAAUCCCUGAUCCAGCACAGUGAGUUAAAGGAUCUGGCCACAACUGUGGUAUAGGUUGAAGCUACAGCUCAGAUUCAGUCCCUGGUCUGGGAACUCUUCCAUAUGCUGCAGGUGCAGCCAUAAAAUAAACAUACAAACCAAACAAACAAACGAACAAACAAAUAUUUAAAUGGGAAAUCAUGUAGGAAGUUUGAUGCACGAGUCUAAAGGUCUGUGGAGACACCAAUCACAGAAAACUAAAUAUAGGAACACUGACACAUUGAUGAUAUUUAAAGAUAUGAACUGUUUGAGGUACCCUAUUAAAAUGGUGUAAAUAAAUAGGAUGAGACUGGUGAGCCUUGCCCUGGAGUACCGUAGCAUUUUAGCAAGAGGAAAAUGAACUAGUGAAAGAGACCAAGAAGGAAAACGUAGUAAAGUCUUAGGGUUUGUCUUCUGGACAGUGACUAACUCCCUUCUCAUCUUUAACAUCAUCCCGUAGCACCUAACUUAGCCUUACUUCAUUUCUAUCCUCCGCUUUCUCCUGGAUUUAUCUUCACAAAAGUUAAGACUGGUUUGUAAUGAUGAUGAUUAGUUUAUAUAUUUCUGUAGGAUUUCCUUAAACUGAAAUAGUUACUGCUGUUUUUCUCUAAAAAAAAAAAAAAAUCUUUUGAAAUAUUUCAUAAAGGAGCUGUAUCAAAAUAUCAUUGGAACCAAAAUACCAUAUCAAUAUAGUUAUAAAAAUGAUAUUUUCCUAAUCAUUGUACAAAGGGAGAAUGAGCACAUAGGAGAGGUGCUGGAGAGAUCUGCAUUAGAAAGUAAUAAGUGCUCUGGAAAUCUAGUUAGAUCAAAUUUCUCCAGUUACUCUCACUUGCUGCCACACAUUCUAAAGUAUCUCCACCAGCUUUCAUGUUGUUAGAUGACUUCAUCUCAUCUCUCUCAAUUGCCUUAUUUUCUCCCUGGGUCAAAGGGGCAUUGCAAAAAAUAAUUAUCAUUUUUCACUCAUCUCCCACAUGAAUACAAACAUUUGUAUAUUAGAGUCUGUUGGUUGCUCCCAACACUCAAUAUUCAUGCUCCUCUGCUUCAGUCAGGGCAUUUGGUCACCUAGAAGAAAGGCAAAAUCCCUCAGCUUCCCUUGUAGCUGGGUGUGGCUUUGUUACUAAAUUAUAACUGAUGGAAAACAAGUAGAAUUACCACAUGGCAAAUUCCACAAAUAUUCUCUGAAAGAGUAAAUAUAAAGACCAUUUCACCCUUCAUCCUUUCCCAGUGGUUGAGAUGCAGACGUAAUGUUAACCUUAUAAGUAAAACCACAGUAGAGGAGCAACAAGAUUAAAAGGAACUAUGUUCCUUGGGAAACAGGCAUUCAACCAGUUUACAAGCCUGUACUACCUCCUCAAGACCAUUUAAGUGAGAUUGUGCAUUUCAUUUAUACCAUUUUAAAGAGAUGUCUUUGACGUUCACAUAUGAAGCUAAUCUUGACUGAUACAGUUAUUUAUUUAUUUAUUUAUUUUUAAUUUGGAACUAGGUUGCUGGAAGUAAGAGAAUACGUGUCAUUGGCUUGAUGGAAAUUGUCCAGCAGCAGAUGGCAAGGACUCUCAUUAUGAACUUAUAAUGCAAUAGUAAAAUACGGUAAAAAUCCUAUUUCCCUCAGAAGGCAGAUCAGGUGCAAGUGGAGUUGUAUGAUAAUAAGUUACAAGAAAUUGCUCUGGGCUGGUAUAUGUUUCUUCAAAAUGUGUAUGUUGAAGUACCUCAUUCUGGUACCUCAGAAUGUAAGGGUAUGUGGAGGUUAAAUUACUUCCAUGGGUAAUUAAUUAAAAAUAAUGUCAUUAGAGUAGAGCCUCUUCCAAUAUGCCUUGUGUCCUUACAACAGAAGAUUAAGAAAUAGACUCAAAACAGAGGAAUGACCAUGUGAAGACAGCUAUCUCUAAGGGAAAGAGAAAUGUCUCGUAAGAAAUCAGCCCAGCUGAUAACUUGAUCUUGGAAACAAAUUUAUGUUGUUUAAGCCACCCAGGCUGUGGGAUGAAUGACCUAGCAAACUAACACAGAGGUAAUCACAGCAUAUCAUAUGUUAAAUAUUCUUGCCACUAGCAGGAAAAUCUGAAAAGAAAGAGUAAAUUAGCAUAUGCGGAAACCCUUGCUAAGAGAGAUGAGAAGAAUGAAGAGGAGCGUAGCUCUGUCAAGGAAGACCUCUGAAGACAGUAGACACUUAAUUAUUAACAGCAGUCCAGUGAUGGGGCAUAUUUCUGGGUUGAAAAGCCAACUGCUUCUUUAUUGUACAGGGAAGCAGCUCCCAAGGUAAAGCAUUAGCAAAAGAUAAAGCUGUGACUCUGAUCUUUUUCCAGUGCCUGUCAUUAUGAGUUAGCCAAGCUAAGGAAAGCAGCCUGGGUAAAACAUCUGAUGUGGAUUCCUGUCUCACCCCACACUCCGCCCCUCACCUUUUAAAGGAUUUCUGGUUAUUUAGCACAAAACCAGGAGAGAUGAGGUUGUGACUAGAACCCAAAUCAUGUAAGUGUUCAGACUUAAAAUUUCAUCUGGUAAGGAGAUCAAUGUAAGGCAAUCCUCUCUUGAUUGCUUGGUGCUACCACUUAGUCUAGACUCAGAAGCAACAGAAAUUUGCAUCUUAAAAUGACAGAACAUGUCUCCUUUUCUUUUCCCCCAAUACCAUCUGCUCUUUGCAGUCUAAAGUUGGUAGAUACAUGGAGCCUUUUUACACCUUUGACCAGAGACACCUGUUCCUGUUCAAAGGAUAAUAAAGCCUUUCUUAUCUCUCCAGAAGCCAAGGUUUACAUUCCUGGUUGUAAAAUUGCUCCUUCUUUCGCAGGAGGAUAUGUGUUUACACUCCAGAAUAAAAGAUAAGCUCUUUCUCUUAACGCCAGAGGGGAGCAGGAAAUGCAUCUGCACCUAUAUAAGCUUCAUGAUUCAUCAUUUCAGAGUCCCUGUCCUGUCGUGC
rnacentral:lncRNA from 1 species